rnacentral:rRNA from 1 species
UCACGUUGAUCCUGCGUGAGAUUUCCGCUAGGGGGGUUUGAUUAAGCCAUGAAAGUGAAUUGGUGCUUGCACCAAUCGCAGAAGGCUGAGUAACACGUCAUUAACCUGCCUUACUGUCCUUAAUAAUCUUGGGAAACUGAGUGUAAAAUGGAUAGUUAUUUCAAACUGGAAUGUUGAAAUGAUAAAAGUAAGAUGGGAUGGCGGUCGAUUAGGUAGUUGGUGAGGUAAUGGCUCACCAAGCCCGAGAUCGAUAGGGGUCGUGAGAGCGAUGACCUCCAGAAGGACACUGAGAUAAGGGUCCUAGCCCUAAGGGGUGCAGCAGGCGCGAAACCUCUACAAUGCACGAAAGUGUGAUAGGGAAACCCCCUGUGCUUAUCUAACGAUAGGCUUUUUUAUAGCUUAGUGCGCUAUACGAAUAAGUGGUGGGCAAGACCGGUGCCAGCAGCCGCGGUAAUACCGGCGCCACAAGUGGAGAUCAUGUUUACUGGGUCUAAAGUGUUCGUAGCCGGUUUUUUAAGUCUCUUGUGAAAGUUCAGUAGCUUAACUCUGAAUUUGCAAGAGAUACUGGGAAACUCGAGGCCGGGAGAGGUAUGAGGUAUUGUUUGGGUAGCGGUAAAAUGUUAUAAUUCUUACAAGACCAACUAAGGCGAAGGCAUCAUACUUGAACGGACCUGACGGUGAGGAACGAGAGCUGGGGGAGCGAACCGGAUUAGAUACCCGGGUAGUCCCAGCCGUAAAACGCUGCGGGUUACGCUUUGCCAAAUCUUCGGGAUUUGGCAGGGGGGAAGCGAAGGCGAUAAACCCGCCACCUGGGGAGUACAGCCGCAAGGCCGAAACUUAAAGGAAUUGCCGGGGGAGUACUACAAGGGGUGCGGCGUGCGGUUUAAUUGGAUUAUACACCGAAAAACUUACCAGGGGCGACAGCACAAUGAAGGUCAGAUUGAAGGUUUUACCUAAGGCGCUGAGAGGUGCCGCAUGGCCGUCGUCAGCUCGUGCUGUAAGGUUUCCUCUUAAGUGAGGAAACGAGCAAGACCCAUGUCCAUAAUUGCAAUCCAGGUCGACUGGUGCACCUUAUGGGGACUGCCUAGGAAACUAGGAGGAAGGUGUGGGCUACGGUAGGUCUGUAUAGCCCGAAUCUCCUGGGCUACACGCGCGCAACAUUGAAUAAGACAAUGAGCUGCGACUCUGAAAGGAGUAGCUAAUCUCCAAACUUAUUCCAGGUAUAGAUCGAGGGUUGAAACUCAACCUCGUGACAUCGGAAUCCCUAGUAACCGAAGUUAAUCAGGCUUCGGUGAAUAUGUCCAUUCUCCUUGGACACACUGCCCGUCAAACCAACCAAGUAGGGUUCAGAAGAGGUGUUCUUUUAUUGGGAAUAUCAAUUCUGGACUCUGUGAGGGGGGUUAAGUCGGCACAAGGUA